rnacentral:rRNA from 1 species
GAUGAACGCUGGCGGCAUGCCUAACACAUGCAAGUCGAGCGAGCGGCGGACAGGUGAGUAAUGUCUGGGAAACUGCCUGAUAGAGGGGGAUAACUACUGGAAACGGUUGCUAAUACCGCAUACCAUCAGAUUUGCCCAGAUGGGAAUAGCUGGUAGGGGGGGUAACGGCUCACCUAGGCGACGAUCCCUAGCUGGUCUGAGAGGAUGACCAGCCACACUGGAACGGAGACACGGUCCAGACUCCUACGGGAGGCAGCAGUGGGGAAUAUUGCACAAUGGGCGCAAGUCUGAUGCAGCCACGCCGCGUGUGUGAAGAAGGCUUUCGGGUUGUAAAGCACUGUCAGCGGGGAGGCGUUACCCGCAGAAGAAGCACCGGCUAACUCCGUGCCAGCAGCCGCGGUAAUUC